GCAGAGGCCCGGCUCGUCGCGGGGAGUGCGUCACCCCUAUGAGUGAUGCCGCCUGAGGAAAGUCCGGGCAACGCAGAGCGCCACACUUCCUAACCGGGAGCUAUCGGCGACGGUAGAGUAGCGUGACAGAAAACAACCGCCGCGGUCAUAUACUGCGGUAAGGGUGAAAAGGUGGGGUAAAAGCCCACCGGGCGCCGUAGCGAUGCGGCGUGCCGCACGUCUUGUGGGUUGCAAGGUCAAGUAUACCGGCAUUUAAGGGUUGCUCGCCCAUUGCCGGGGGGUAGACUGCUACGGACCGCGCACCCGUGCGCGGCCAAGAUAAAUGACGAGCCGUUAUUCAGGUUGAGGGCGCGAGCCCGCCCUGGCGUAACGACAUAACCCGGCUUACAGGGCCUCUGCUUUU
rfam:Bacteroidales bacterium 52_46 Ley3_66761_scaffold_830, whole genome shotgun sequence.